UAUUUUCUUCUUCUCAGUGUAAGUGAGAUACUUGAAGCUUAUUUUCCCCCUUAGUUUACU
rnacentral:tRNA from 1 species